rnacentral:rRNA from 1 species
AUUGAACGCUGGCGGCAUGCCUAACACAUGCAAGUCGAACGGAAGCACGGAUGUUGCUCCUGGAUUCAGCGGCGGAAGGGGGUGUGUAACCUAUGGAUGUGCCUCGUUGCGGGGGGUAACGUCCGGAGACAGGCGCUAAUACCGCAUACGUGCUGAGGGGGUAAGAGGGGGAUCUUGGGAGCUCACGCUAUCAGGUGAGGCUAGGUCGGUUUAGCUAGUUGGUGGGGUAAAGGCCUACCAAGGCGACGAUCCGUAACUGGUCUGAGAGGGUGAUCAGUCACACUGGAACUGAGACACGGUCCAGACUCCUACGGGAGGCAGCAGUGGGGAAUAUUGGACAAUGGGCGAAAGCCUGAUCCAGCCAUGCCGCGUGUGUGAAGAAGGUCUUCGGAUUGUAAAGCACUUUUAGUGGGGAAGAAGGGCAGUACGUUAAUACCUUGCUGUUUUGACGUUACCAAAAGAAUAAGCACCGGCUAACUUCGUG